rnacentral:tRNA from 1 species
GGUAGGGUGUCCGAGUGGUCUAAGGAGACGGUUUUGAAAACCGUUGUGCGGGAAACUGUACCGUGGGUUCGAAUCCCACCCCUACCG